rnacentral:rRNA from 1 species
UACGUAGGGGGCAAGCGUUGUCCGGAAUCAUUGGGCGUAAAGAGCGUGUAGGCGGCCUGAUAAGUCGGCUGUGAAAGUCAAGGGCUCAACCCUUGAAUGCCGGCCGAUACUGUCAGGCUAGAGUCCGGAAGAGGCGAGUGGAAUUCCUGGUGUAGCGGUGAAAUGCGUAGAUAUCAGGAGGAACACCGGUGGCGAAGGCGUCCCUCUGGCCGGAUACUGACGCUGAGACGCGAAAGCGUGGGGAGCAAACAGG